CUUGGUCAUUUAGAGGAAGUAAAAGUCGUAACAAGGUUUCCGUAGGUGAACCUGCGGAAGGAUCAUUAUCAGAGCUUUGCUCAUUCCAUUCUUGUGAAUUUUAUUGUCUCAAAUUAAAACUUUCAACAACGGAUCUCUUGGCUCCGGCGUCGAUGAAGAACGCAGCGAACUGCGAUACGUGAUGUGAAUUGCAGAAUUGUGAAUCAUCGAAACUUUGAACGCACAUUGCGCCUGUCGGUACUCCGUCAGGCAUGUCUGUUUGAGCGUUGUCAAACUCUCAGUUCUGGUUGUAGAGGAGGCAGCGCCCCUCUGAAAUAUCUCAGCAUUGUGCCACGGCGAAACGUGAAGCGUGCUAUAAUAUGAAUCUCCAACCUCAAAUCAGACAAGAAUACCCGCUGAACUUAAGCAUAUCAAUAAGCGGAGGA
rnacentral:rRNA from 1 species